CGUUUACUCGAGCUAAGUUUAGAAAAUUUUCGAACUUAGAUUUAAGAUGAUUCACGCCAGAUUGAGAAAAAGAAUUUAUUUUAAUUCCAACAAAAAUGAUUUACAAAAGCAUUUGUAAAUUUAGUAAUUAAAUUAUAUGCAUUUCAUAUUUAUUUAAUUUAGCAUUCAAGUAUUUUCACGAGCUAUUUAUUUAGCGAACCAUGAAGUAUUAUUACAGUUUUCAUAGUACAACUUGGAAGACUUUUUAUUUUAUUUUAUCUUAUUUUAUUUUAUUUUUUUAUUCCUACUCCCACCACUAACUCCUCCACCUUUCUUCCCACUUUCCCUCCCACUACUCCCACUUACCCCCACUUAUUUCCAUCACCCACGUUCACAAUUCAUUUACCAAACUUUUGCAAUAAUUAACUGAAUUCCUGUAUUCUCCAUUCAUAAUUCCCACAGCUCAUUCUGCCGAGGAGGAGCUCAUGUUUUUAAAAACAGUCGAGCAGUUUCAUAGCUUCAACAUCAAAGCAAUUUCAUAUCUUUGAACAGAACAUCCCCAAGGCUUUGAGCAUCAGGAGGAUUAGCACUGCUAUUCCGAUUCAGAGAUAAGGUUAAACGACAGGCUUUGCCUAGACAGGUUGGCUGGACGGUGCUGACGGGACGGAGCUGAGGCUAAAGAUAAAUUCCUAUGUUAGACUUCCGCUGUAGCAAUUACUCAUAUCCAUCUUUUGUUUUCCCAACUUAAGAUCUUCAUGUUAAAUUUCAAAUGAUAUAUUUGACCGAGCUUAGACUCUUCACUACUAAAUUUAUGCUAAUGAAUGUUGGUUGUCAGAAGCAUGAAACAAAA